UUCAGCUUUUGGAAGUACAGUGCUGUCCUGCACCCUUGACAACAACGUACGGAUUAGAAAGGAGGUGGAAUGGGAGAGAGUGCUGAACUGUCAUGUCAGAGAUCUCUGGACUUAUGCAGAAGGGGGAAAAAAAGGGAAAUCCUGGCUGCCUUGAGGGCAAAGGGAAAGGCAGGAGGAAACCAGAAGCAAGAGAGGCUCUCCAAAGCUCGAUUCUAGAUCAGAGACAGCCGGGAUUCUGCGCAAGCAGCCCCUGCAGGAUCCUCUCUCUGGAUCCUACCCAGAUUGUCUCUCCAGGAAUACAAAUGGAUGAUCAGGAACCAAGAGGUCUUCAAACAGAAGCAAGACUGGAGGAAAACGGAGACCAGCCAAUUUUUCAGCCUAGGGCUGCUGAAGAGUUUCAAGAUGAGACAAAUCCCCAAGAAGCUAACCAGACACCAGGUGAAUCAGCUCCACAAAAGGUUCAACAGGUACCUGAUGUGAUACCUCUGCAAGAGAUAAAUCAAGUAUCUGUUAAAAGCCUGCAACAAAAUCAGAAAGCCCCACAGCAGGAUUUCCAGAAAGCAACAAAAUCUCAAAGGAAGUCACUGGUGCACAGCCGAUGGGAUCAUAGCAAAACUUUGCAGACCUGCAUCAGGAGGAUAGCUAAUUCCAGUUGUUGGCCUAGAGAAGAAGAAGUUAUCCAGACCUUAACAGACCUUAAUGGAGAAAUCACUCAGGCCUGUAGAAGGUUGGGCCCCAUAGGACUCCGGGUAAAGCAAGAGAUGGUGGAUGAAGACACAGUGAGCCUGGAGAUAUGGCGACAGCAGUUCAGGCAGUUCUCCUACCUAGAUGCUGAGGGACCCCGAGAUGUUUGCAGCCAGCUUCAGGAUCUUUGCUAUCGAUGGCUGCAGCCAGAGAAACACUCCAAGGAGCAGAUAUUGGAGCUGGUAAUCCAAGAGCAGUUCUUGGCCAUAUUGCCACAUGACAUGCAGGAAACGAGGACCAGGAACUUUGUGCCCAGGCUGUGAUUUUGGCAGAGGUCUUCUUGUGGAAGGCACAUGAGAAUAAGAGGUGGGACCCACAGGUUCCAGGGCCAUUUGAGAAAAUGGCUCUGCAUGUCUCUAAAGCGGAUCCAUUGAAGCUUCAGCUGUACAGAGUGGCCAUGCGAGAGGGAGAAAGGAUAGCCAGCUUCCUGGCAAGCAAUGACGAUGUGAGUGGGAAAGAGGAGGAAGAUCUUCAGCUGGAAAAGCUGCAGCAGGAGGGGCCAUCACUACGAAGGACUAAGGAAGGGUGCGUCCUCUUUCCUGAGAUGGGAGACGUGGCUGGGAAUCAGCUGACAGCUGGAAGGAAAUGCUUUCAGUUUCCUGAGAUGGAAGAGACACGCGGGAGUUAGGAAGCAGUCGAGAUACAUGAGGAAAGCCUUCUAGAGGUGACCGUGAAAAAAGCCUUUGUCUGCAAAGAAAAGAAAAAUUCCAGUGAAAGCACUUUGAGCAUUGAACUUGGGGUGGAGGGGAGUAAAAAGAGCCCAGAAAGCAGCUGCAAAAUCUCCACCCAGAGCCCUGGUCCUCUUAAAAACCGGGAAAGACGCCGUACCAGUGCUGCUACUGCAGGAAAAUCUUCAAUCGUGCCUCAGCUCAUUUGGUGCAUGAGAGAAUUCACACAGGGAAGAAACCAUACAACUGCUUGGAGUGUGGGCAGAGUUUCAGUCGGAGAUCGCACCUAACUAGACACCACAGAAUCCACACGGGGAGAAGCCCCACAUGUGCUCAGAGUGUGGAAAGAACUUCAGUCAGAGAUCGCACCUUAUUGAACAUAAGCGAACUCGCACGGGGGAGAAACCAUUUGUGUGCUCCAUCUGUGGGAAAAGUUUCUACAGUGGUGCCUCGCUUGA